rnacentral:tRNA from 1 species
GGAGAGGUGUCCGAGCGGCUUAAGGAGCACGCUUGGAAAGCGUGUGUUGGGGAAACUCAACCGUGGGUUCGAAUCCCACCCUCUCCGCCA